rnacentral:rRNA from 1 species
CUACGGGGGGCAGCAGUGGGGAAUCUUAGACAAUGGGCGCAAGCCUGAUCUAGCCAUGCCACGUGAGUGAUGAAGGCCUUAGGGUCGUAAAGCUCUUUCGCUGGGGAAGAUAAUGACGGUACCCAGUAAAGAAACCCCGGCUAACUCCGUGCCAGCAGCCGCGGUAAUACGGAGGGGGUUAGCGUUGUUCGGAAUUACUGGGCGUAAAGCGCGCGUAGGCGGACUGCUAAGUCGGGGGUGAAAUCCCGGGGCUCAACCCCGGAACGGCCUUCGAUACUGGCAGUCUGGAGUUCGAGAGAGGUGAGUGGAAUUCCGAGUGUAGAGGUGAAAUUCGUAGAUAUUCGGAGGAACACCAGUGGCGAAGGCGGCUCACUGGCUCGAUACUGACGCUGAGGUGCGAAAGUGUGGGGAGCAAACAGGAUUAGAUACCCGGGUAGUC